AAACUCUUUCUCAUAAUAGUAUAAAAGAAUGAAGUUCUCGGAAAUGAAAUAAUGAACGUCGCUCAGUCUUAUUCUCCUGAGGCGGAAUACCCCCAACGCCACAGCUCGCAAUAUAAAGUGGAAAACUAUCGACGUCUCCACAACAAUAAAAACCUACGACUUCUAAGUUGGUACAAUUUUGACGUUUGAUCACCCUUGAUCGCCGAUUGCGUUUAUGCGGAUUGUGUGUUAUCCUGGGAAAGUUUGGUCGCAAACCUCAUUGCACGGAGCAGACCGCCAAUAUAUUGUGCCGCAGCGGCAAAUUCCUUAUGCUUGGAGGCGCGGUUGCUCGGGACGCUCCUGCUGGCCAGAUUGGGAUUGCCCUCGGGAGCGAUUGUUAAUGACCGAGGUUUUGUUUUACAAAUUUAUUCCUGCCAACGCAUUAUGGGCCACUUGUUCUGGGCAAAAUGAUUAACUCCAGAACGGAGAUAGAUAUUCAGUUUAUGUUGUUUGUGUAUGGUAACACUAGCUCAAUUCUUUUAUGAUACCAAAAAUUGUGUGUUUGGCCCGCCCCUCAUUUAUUUUUGUAUUUUAUAACUCCAGAACG